rnacentral:rRNA from 1 species
GAUGAACGCUGGCGGCGUGCCUAAUACAUGCAAGUCGAGCGAACAGAUGAGGAGCUUGCUCCUCUGACGUUAGCGGCGGACGGGUGAGUAACACGUGGAUAACCUACCUAUAAGACUGGGAUAACUUCGGGAAACCGGAGCUAAUACCGGAUAAUAUAUUGAACCGCAUGGUUCAAUAGUUAAAGACGGUUUUGCUGUCACUGAUAGAUGGAUCCGCGCCGCAUUAGCUAGUUGGUAAGGUAACGGCUUACCAAGGCGACGAUGCGUAGCCGACCUGAGAGGAUGAUCGGCCACACUGGAACUGAGACACGGUCCAGACUCCUACGGGAGGCAGCAGUAGGGAAUCUUCCGCAAUGGGCGAAAGCCUGACGGAGCAACGCCGCGUGAGUGAUGAAGGUCUUCGGAUCGUAAAACUCUGUUAUUAGGGAAGAACAAAUGUGUAAGUAACUAUGCACGUCUUGACGGUACCUAAUCAGAAAGCCACGGCUAACUACGUG